CAGUAAAUUGCUGUAGACCUGAUGUCUUGGAUUAAAACCAUGGUAUGAAUAAGAUCUGCCAUGUGGCCUAAUAACCUUGGGCAUCCAGCAUCGCCUAACCAUGUUAACAUAACUAAAAACGUAGCCUUGGUAAAUUUAUUUGCCAGUGGAAGCAUUAAAUUCUUUUUUAAAUAAGCUCUAUAUUAUAAUGUAAUAGUCUGAAAAUAAGUUAAUUAUAUUA
rnacentral:misc_RNA from 1 species